AUACGAAGGGGGCAAGCGUUGUUCGGAAUAACUGGGCGUAAAGGGCACGUAGGCGGAUUGAUCAGUUAGAGGUGAAAUCCCAGGGCUCAACCCUGGAACUGCCUUUAAUACUGUCAGUCUAGAGAUCGAGAGAGGUGAGUGGAAUUCCGAGUGUAGAGGUGAAAUUCGUAGAUAUUCGGAGGAACACCAGUGGCGAAGGCGGCUCACUGGCUCGAUACUGACGCUGAGGUGCGAAAGCGUGGGGAGCAAACAGGAUUAGAUACCCUAGUAGUCC
rnacentral:rRNA from 1 species